rnacentral:rRNA from 1 species
CGCGGCCUAUCAGCUUGUUGGUGAGGUAACGGCUCACCAAGGCAUCGACGGGUAGCUGGUCUGAGAGGACGAUCAGCCACACUGGGACUGAGACACGGCCCAGACUCCUACGGGAGGCAGCAGUAGGGAAUCUUGCGCAAUGGGCGAAAGCCUGACGCAGCAACGCCGCGUGGGGGAUGAAUGCCUUCGGGUUGUAAACCCCUUUCAGCAGGGACGAAAAUGACGGUACCUGCAGAAGAAGCUCCGGCCAACUACGUGCCAGCAGCCGCGGUAAUACGUAGGGAGCGAGCGUUGUCCGGAAUUAUUGGGCGUAAAGAGCUCGUAGGCGGUUCAGUAAGUCGGGUGUGAAAACUCGAGGCUCAACCUUGAGACGCCACUCGAUACUGCUGUGACUUGAGUCCGGUAGAGGAGUGUGGAAUUCCUGGUGUAGCGGUGAAAUGCGCAGAUAUCAGGAGGAACACCAGCGGCGAAGGCGGCACUCUGGGCCGGUACUGACGCUGAGGAGCGAAAGCAUGGGGAGCAAACAGGAUUAGAUACCCUGGUAGUCCAUGCCGUAAACGUUGGGCACUAGGUAUGGGAUCAUAUCAACGGAUUCCGUGCCGUAGCUAACGCAUUAAGUGCCCCGCCUGGGGAGUACGG